UACGUAGGGUGCAAGCGUUGUCCGGAUUUAUUGGGCGUAAAGAGCUCGUAGGCGGUUUGUCGCGUCGGAUGUGAAAACCCAGGGCUCAACCCUGGGCCUGCAUUCGAUACGGGCAGACUGGAGGUAUGCAGGGGAGAACGGAAUUCCUGGUGUAGCGGUGAAAUGCGCAGAUAUCAGGAGGAACACCGGUGGCGAAGGCGGUUCUCUGGGCAUGUCCUGACGCUGAGGAGCGAAAGUGUGGGGAGCGAACAGG
rnacentral:rRNA from 1 species